rnacentral:misc_RNA from 1 species
GAACUGCGAUAAGUAAUGUGAAUUGCAGAAUUCAGUGAAUCAUCGAGUCUUUGAACGCACAUUGUGCCCCCUGGCAUUCCGGGGGGCAUGCCUGUCCGAGCGUCAUUGCUGCCCUUCAAGCCCGGCUUAUGUGUUGGGUCGUCGUCCCCUCCGGGGGACGGGCCCGAAAGGCAGCGGCGGCACCGCGUCCGGUCCUCGAGCGUAUGGGGCUUUGUCACCCGCUCGAUAAGGACCGGCCGGGCGCCAGCCGGCGUCUCCAACCUUUUUUUCUCAGGUUGACCUCGGAUCAGGUAGGGAUACCCGCUGAACUUAAGC